GACGAACGCUGGCGGCGUGCCUAAUGCAUGCAAGUCGAACGCAUUCUUCGGAAUGAGUGGCGCACGGCUGAGGAACACGUGACUAACCUACCCCGGUGUGGGGGAUAACGGGUCGAAAGACUCGCUAAUCCCGCAUACGAUCCGCCUCGGCGGAGGAAAGCGGUAACGCGCACUGGGCGGGGGUCGCGUCCCAUUAGAUGGUUGGUGUGGUAAUGGCGCACCAAGUCGAUGAUGGGUCUCUGGUCUGAGAGGACGACCAGACAGAUUGGGACUGAGACACGGCCCAAACUCCUACGGGGGGCAGCAGCAAGGAAUUUUCGGCAAUGGGCGCAAGCCUGACCGAGCAACGCCGCGUGGAGGAUGACGACUCUUGGGUUGUAAACUCCUUUUGGGGGGGACGAUGAUGACGGUACCCUCCGAAUCAGGCCCGGCUAACUACGUGCCAGCAGCCGCAGUAACAC
rnacentral:rRNA from 1 species